rnacentral:rRNA from 1 species
GCGGAAGGAUCAUUACCGAGUGCGGGUCCUUUGGGCCCAACCUCCCAUCCGUGUCUAUUGUACCCUGUUGCUUCGGCGGGCCCGCCGCUUGUCGGCCGCCGGGGGGGGCGCCUCUGCCCCCCGGGCCCGUGCCCGCCGGAGACCCCAACACGAACACUGUCUGAAAGCGUGCAGUCUGAGUUGAUUGAAUGCAAUCAGUUAAAACUUUCAACAAUGGAUCUCUUGGUUCCGGCAUCGAUGAAGAACGCAGCGAAAUGCGAUAACUAAUGUGAAUUGCAGAAUUCAGUGAAUCAUCGAGUCUUUGAACGCACAUUGCGCCCCCUGGUAUUCCGGGGGGCAUGCCUGUCCGAGCGUCAUUGCUGCCCUCAAGCCCGGCUUGUGUGUUGGGUCGCCGUCCCCCUCUCCGGGGGGACGGGCCCGAAAGGCAGCGGCGGCACCGCGUCCGAUCCUCGAGCGUAUGGGGCUUUGUCACAUGCUCUGUAGGAUUGGCCGGCGCCUGCCGACGUUUUCCAACCAUUCUUUCCAGGUUGACCUCGGAUCAGGUAGGGAUACCCGCUGAACUUAAGCAUAUCAAUAAGCCGGGAGGAAAUCAUUACCGAGUGCGGGUCCUUUGGGCCCAACCUCCAUCCGUGUCUAUUGUACCCUGUUGCUUCGGCGGGCCGCCGCUUGUCGGCCGCCCGGGGUGGGCGCCUCUGCCCCCGGGCCUGGCCACGAGAAACCACACGAACACUGUCUGCAAAGCGGUCCGAGUCUGCAGCUUGGUCUUCUAAAAGCGAACACACGUCUCAAACACUAUUUGUACCGACUGGGGAAUUCUCUCUGAGUUUCCGGGCCAUCCAAUCGAAAAGAAAACG